AUUGAACGCUGGCGGCAUGCUUUACACAUGCAAGUCGAACGGCAGCGCGGGCUUCGGCCUGGCGGCGAGUGGCGAACGGGUGAGUAAUACAUCGGAACGUGCCCAGUAGUGGGGGAUAGCUCGGCGAAAGCCGGAUUAAUACCGCAUACGACCUGAGGGUGAAAGCGGGGGAUCUUCGGACCUCGCGCUAUUGGAGCGGCCGAUGGCAGAUUAGCUAGUUGGUGGGGUAAAGGCCUACCAAGGCGACGAUCUGUAGCUGGUCUGAGAGGACGACCAGCCACACUGGGACUGAGACACGGCCCAGACUCCUACGGGAGGCAGCAGUGGGGAAUUUUGGACAAUGGGCGAAAGCCUGAUCCAGCAAUGCCGCGUGUGUGAUGAAGGCCUUCGGGUUGUAAAGCACUUUUGGCGGGAACGAAAAGGACUGUGCCAAGACCACGGUUCGAUGACGGUACCCGCAGAAUAAGCACCGGCUAACUACGU
rnacentral:rRNA from 1 species